UAGCCUCAAGUGAUGAUUAUUGGAGGUAGAGCACUGUUUGGACGAGGGGCCCCUCUCGGGUUACCGAAUUCAGACAAACUCCGAAUGCCAAUUAAUUUAACUUGGGAGUCAGAACAUGGGUGAUAAGGUCCGUGUUCGAAAGGGAAACAGCCCAGACCACCAGCUAAGGUCCCAAAAUAUAUGUUAAGUGGAAAAGGAUGUGGCGUUGCCCAGACAACUAGGAUGUUGGCUUAGAAGCAGCCAUCAUUUAAAGAGUGCGUAAUAGCUCACUAGUCGAGUGACACUGCGCCGAAAAUGUACCGGGGCUAAACAUAUUACCGAAGCUGUGGAUUGUCCUUUGGACAAUGGUAGGAGAGCGUUCUAAGGGCGUUGAAGCAUGAUCGUAAGGACAUGUGGAGCGCUUAGAAGUGAGAAUGCCGGUGUGAGUAGCGAAAGACGGGUGAGAAUCCCGUCCACCGAUUGACUAAGGUUUCCAGAGGAAGGCUCGUCCGCUCUGGGUUAGUCGGGUCCUAAGCUGAGGCCGACAGGCGUAGGCGAUGGAUAACAGGUUGAUAUUCCUGUACCACCUAUAAUCGUUUUAAUCGAUGGGGGGACGCAGUAGGAUAGGCGAAGCGUGCGAUUGGAUUGCACGUCUAAGCAGUAAGGCUGAGUAUUAGGCAAAUCCGGUACUCGUUAAGGCUGAGCUGUGAUGGGGAGAAGACAUUGUGUCUUCGAGUCGUUGAUUUCACACUGCCGAGAAAAGCCUCUAGAUAGAAAA
rnacentral:rRNA from 1 species